CUCGGGGAGCUAGAACCAGCCCCGAGCAAGGAAACCGGCCAGCCAAGUUCCGUGCUCCUACCUCGGGCGGCCCCGGAUAGCUGCGGCAGCCAUCUUGCUGCCACAAUUUCCCAGCAUCCUCUGAAACGUAUCCGCCAUAGCAACUGGACGCCUUCUUGUUUUAACCCAAUAUUUGUGCUCAAUUUUUGCUGUUUUCUUGAAGCUUUGCAAAUUAUAAUUUAUAUAAGUGCAUCUAGUUUCACUGUGUGGGGUUUGCAAAUAAUUUGCUGUGAUGAUUUUAUACUUUAAUGGCUGCUUUCACUGCUUAUGUAUUCUUUUCUUUUUUGCUGAUGCUUCAUGGCUUUGUGUGCUGAAUCUUUUAUGUAUAUGCGAUUACGUGUUAUUUUCUUCGUAUACGUGCGUGUGCGUGAGACUGAUAACAAAUGGUUUAAUCAGGUCGGGUCAAACGACUCUAGUGCAGCUUCCCCAGUGAGUGCCAUAAAAGUGAUACAACAUAGAACUACAGCGUACGGGGCAACUCUGGCAAAGAAGAGACGAACUCUGACGGCGCGCAGUUACGUCUACGUGCCUCAGGAAUUCGGCUUUUGAAACUUCAGGAAGAAAACAAAUGUACUAAGCAGUUUCAGGCGCUGCAUCUAAGACACGUUCAGAAACCUUUCAACGCGGUUGAGCCUUCGUUACGGACAAAUGGAAAAGAAAAAAGGGACAGAUUUAAACCACAGUGCAUAGAUUUCCA